UGGGGAAUAUUGGACAAUGGGCGCAAGCCUGAUCCAGCAAUGCCGCGUGUGUGAAGAAGGCCUGCGGGUUGUAAAGCACUUUAAGCAGGGAGGAAGGCUCUGGGGAUAAUACCCUUGGAGAUUGACGUUACCUGCAGAAUAAGCACCGGCUAACUCCGUG
rnacentral:rRNA from 1 species